AUGCGGGGGGGGGGGGGAGGGAGGAGCGGGCCCCCAGGGGAUGCGGGGAGAGGGGGAGCGGGACCCCCAGGGGAUGCGGGGGGCGGGGGGGGAGGAGCGGGCCCCCAGGGGAUGCGGGGGGGGGGGGGGGAGGAGCGGGCCCCCAGGGGAUGCGGGGAGAGGGGGAGCGGGACCCCCAGGGGAUGCGGGGGGGGGGGGAGGGAGGAGCGGGACCCCAGGGGAUGCGGGGAGAGGGGGAGCGGGACCCCCAGGGGAUGCGGGGGGCGGGGGGGAGGAGCGGGCCCCCAGGGGAUGCGGGGAGAGGGGGAGCGGGACCCCCAGGGGAUGCGGGGGGGGGGGGGGGGGGAGGGGGACCCCGGGGAUGCGGGGAGAGGGGGAGCGGGCCCCCCAGGGGAUGCGGGGGGCGGGGGGGAGGAGCGGGCCCCCAGGGGAUGCGGGGAGAGGGGGAGCGGGACCCCCAGGGGAUGCGGGGGGGGGGGGGGGGGGGGCGGGACCCCAGGGGUUCCGGGGAUGGGGAGAGGAGCGGGACCCCAGGGGAUGCGGGGGGGGCGGGGGGGGGAGGAGCGGGACCCCAGGGGAUGCGGGGGGAGGGGGAGGAGCGGGACCUCAGGGGAUGCGGGGGUGGGGGGAGUAGAAGUGGGACCCCCGGGGGAUGCGGGGAGAGGGGUGGAGCGGGACCCCUGGGGGAUGCGGGGCGGAGGGGGAGCGGGACCCCCAGGGGAUCCGGAUCCGGGGAUGCGGAGGGAGGUGGGAGAUGGCCCCCAGGGGAUGCGGGGAGAAGGGGGAAGCGGGACCCCCAGGGGAUGUGGGGGGAGGGGAGGGGAGGGGGGCCCCCAGGGGAUCCGUGAUGGCGGGGAGGGGCCCCCAGGGGAUGCGGGGGCGGUGAGGUGGCGGGGAGGGGGCUCCCCUCUGCGCGCCUUCCCCGCCCCACCUCCUGCCCCCCGCCGGCUUCUGCUGCGGCUCUGGCCCGACUGGAAAUACCUGUCUGCACUGGCGCGCUCCCAGGCCCUGCCCCGGCGCCUCCUGCAGGGUGCCAGGGGACCGUGCGCCGGGCGACGCCGCCAGGGCUCCCCGCUGCAGCCCCAGCGAUGGCGACCCCGGGGCACAGGCGGCGGGGCGGGGGAGGGGGGCGGGGGGCAGGCUGGGAGGCUUCCCCACACGGGGCCUGGACACAGGGACACACGGGCAAAGAUAGAAGUGCUCUCCUCCUGA
rnacentral:lncRNA from 1 species